UUUGGCAAACUACCUGGUUCAUUGGCUUACUUUUACUAAUGGCAAUCUCGUUUUUCGGUCUCGCCAUUUUCCUUUUUCUUACCCUUGACUCCGAUUUCACCUCUUCCCCCGUCUCUGCCGCUUCCGAAGGCGUCCAGAUUACUUAUGGGUCAGUGAUCAAGUUGAUGCA